CUUUUGUGACUAUCACAUAACCCCACACCCUAUAACUCUUGUCACUCAUCCACUAAUCUGUUCUCUACUAUAUAUGUCUUUGAGAAUGUUAUCUAGAAUGAUUCCUGAAGUACAUAACUGUUUAAGAUUGUCCAAUGUGAAGAAAACUUAAGAUUGCUAAAGAAACUUGAAUCUUCCAGUCAUGAAGACAUGGGUUCCACCUCCUCCCAACCUUGGAGGACACACAGAGCUAAGUUGAAUGCGCACUGCUUGUAUGAGCACAAAAUCAUAAUGGAUUUGACCAAUUCUUCUGAAUCUUUGUAAUUUUACACUCACUAUUUCAGUCAAAUGUCUACUUACCCUGCUGUGUCACGUUAAAAUGCUUAUCCAUACAUGAGCAAAUUGAACUCUAAUGCAGUUAAUUCUGAAUUUUCCCCUUACUACAGUAGUACAUUAAUGAUUCAGAUAUAAUCAUCCUACAUUAACUACUAUCUACCCUGAUUUUUCAUUUGCAUUUCAUUGUUUUUAUUUUAAUUUUACUAAUGGCCAAUUUAUUUGAAGAUUUUUUAUUUUAUUCAUUUUACAUACCAACCAUAGCUUCCCCUCCUUCGCCUCCUUCUACUCCCCCCCAACCCACCCACCCCCAUCCACUCCUCAGAAAGAGUAAGGCCUCCCAUGGGGAUUCAAGGAAGUUGAGGCAGGACCAAGACCCUCCUCCCUGCAUCAAGCCUAAGCAAGGCAUUCAACUAUAGGGAAUGGGUUCCAAAAACCCAGCUCAUGCACCAAGGAUAGAUCCUGGUCUUACUGCCAGGUGCCCCUCAAACAGACCAAGCUACACAACUGUCAUCCCUAUGCAGAGGCCCUAGUUAGAUCCCAUUCAGGUUCCCCAGAUAUCACUCUAGAGUCCUUGAGCUCCAAGGACCUCAGGACCCCUCCCUCUCUUUGACUGGACUCCUGAUGCUUGGUCUGGUGCUUGGCUGUGGAUCUCUGCAUCUGGUUCCAUCAGUUACUGGAUGAAGGUUCUAUGAUGACAGUUCUAGUGGUAUUUGCCAUCUGUACAUAUUCUUCAGUAAAAUCUGUAUGCCUGACUUAUCAUUUGUCCAUUUUUAAUUUGAUUGGUCUUUAUGUUUACUUUCAGGACUGUAUAUAUUCUAAACAAAUUUCCUGGAUCAUAAAUUUUUUCAAAUGUUUUUCCUUGUGUUAUACACUGUUAAUUGAAGACUAGCUACUGCAAAUUUCUA
rnacentral:lncRNA from 1 species